CACGUAGUUAGCCGUCCCUUUCUGGUAAGUUACCGUCACAGUGUGAACUUUCCACUCUCACACUCGUUCUUCUCUUACAACAGAGCUUUACGAUCCGAAAACCUUCUUCACUCACGCGGCGUUGCUCGGUCAGGGUUGCCCCCAUUGCCGAAGAUUCCCUACUGCUGCCUCCCGUAGGAGUCUGGGCCGUGUCUCAGUCCCAGUGUGGCCGAUCACCCUCUCAGGUCGGCUAUGUAUCGUCGCCUUGGUGAGCCGUUACCUCACCAACUAGCUAAUACAACGCAGGUCCAUCUCUUAGUGAUGCAAUUGCACCUUUCAAAUCAAUAUCAUGCGAUAUCGACUUUUAUGCGGUAUUAGCUAUCGUUUCCAAUAGUUAUCCCCCGCUAAGAGGCAGGUUACCUACGCGUUACUCACCCGUUCGCAACUCAUCCGCUCGGUGCAAGCACCAAGCUUCAGCGUUCUACUUGCAUGUAUUAGGCACGCCGCCAGCGUUCA
rnacentral:rRNA from 1 species